AUGUGAGGUCACGUGAUUGCCUCAUCCCAGCGCCCAGCGCGGAGGGGCCGUCAGGGGGCGGGGCGACUCUCCGGUCCCGCCCACUUCGUCGCCUACGGGCCCCCAGCCCGCCUAAGCAAGAACUGCUGGCGGGAUGCUGCUGUACUGGACUCAUUUUGCUGGAGGCGGUCAACUCUGUGUGGCCUGCCGUGCAAGGAGAUCGUAGUCCAGACCCCCCAUUUUCUAAACAAAGGCACUGAGGCCCAGUGGAGAUUUAUCUUGGGGCACUGCUCCGCCCGGAUGUUCAAAUCGCGGUUUUGGUUUCCGCUGCCUUCCGCUCCCUGUCGAGCGCGGGAAGCUGAGCCUGCCACCUGCUGCCUCCAGCUCCGCCAUCUUUCCACUCUAAGUCUACCUCACCUGCAUCCCAGACUGGCCAUCACUCGUUAUUGUUCUCCUGCCCUCCUACGAACAUAACUUUUAGCUGCUUGACUGUCUUAGAGGAGGGAACAGCUUGUGCUCAGCUCCUGUUCCCAUACUGGGGCACAGUCCACCAGGGGGAUGGAGCAUCCAGUCUCUUGGUCUGCAGCAGAGAGUGGCACCUCAUUUGGGUCGGUAAUGUGCCCCAGAUACAUUGCCCUAAUAUACUUUAUUGGGAACAGUAAAGAUGCUACUCCUGC